CCUACGGUGGACUGCAGUGGGGAAUAUUGCACAAUGGGGGAAACCCUGAUGCAGCGACGCCGCGUGAAGGAAGAAGUCUUUCCGUAUGUAAACUUCUAUCAGCAGGGAAGAAAAUUACGGUACCUGACUAAUAAUCCCCGGCUAACUACGUGCCAGCAGCCGCGGUACUACGGAGGGGGCAAGCGUUAUCCGGAUUUACUGGGUGUAAAGGGAGCGUAGGCGGUGCAGCAAGUCAGAAGUGAAAGCCCGGGGCUCAACUCCGGGACUGCUUUUGAAACUGUUGAACUAGAUUGCAGGAGAGGUAAGUGGAAUUCCUAGUGUAGCGGUGAAAUGCGUAGAUAUUAGGAGGAACACCAGUGGCGAAGGCGGCUUACUGGACUGUAAAUGACGCUGAGGCUCGAAAGCGUGGGGAGCAAACAGGAUUAGAUACCCUUGUAGUC
rnacentral:rRNA from 1 species